rnacentral:lncRNA from 1 species
AUAAAGAUAUUCAUAUUAUCAAUAUCAAAUAACCAUCAAGGAUAAAAUGAUAAGAUAAGUAAAAAAUUUGCCAAAUGAUAAUUAGGGGAAUUUGGAUGAGUUCUAAAACAUAAUUUAGUCAAAGAACACAGAGUUUCACUCAUUUUUUUUCUUAGAAAAUCAUAAGAGAUUUAAGAUUUAAGAAAUAAGUUAGAUGAAAAAUACUCCCAAACAAUCAUAUUAUUAGAUUAAUUAUUAAUCAUAUACGUUUUGACUAUAGUAAAUAAUAACUCAUCAUCGACCAAUCAAAGAAUGACAUUUAAUCCUUCCAACAUCACUCCCCGGCAAUGUCAUGAAUAUGAUAAAGCUACGGCCAAAUGCAUGAACGCCCUCACAGUUACAAUUGAAAAUGACUUCGAGCUUUCAUUUUAUGCAUUUGUGUAUGCAGAUGUCAUAUGGGAACUUGCCAAAACAGAUCAUUAUUUUGUUUCAUUCUUUAGGUACAUCUUAAUAAUCUUUGUUUUUUUGUCUUUUUCUGUUGCUGUUUUUUUAAUCUUAUUUGUAGUUUAAGUAAGGAUGACUAUUUACUGAUUAAGAAAUGUGGAUUCCACAUCCCUGAGUUACACGCACAUAUUUAUAUCAAUAAAAUAGACAAGGCUCUUUUGGACAUAAUUAAGUGCAUCGAGCAAUCAAAAAUGACCAAGAAAUAAAGAAACCCGACGCUUUAAUUUCUCUGGUUUCGAACGAUGUCCAUGUUAUGGCAUGCAACGAUUAUACUGGAGCUUUCUGGUUUAAGGCCAUGAUCCUUUUAGGUAGCAAAUUUGAAUAAAUUUUUUUUUGAGAGUAAAUAAAAUAUUUAUUUUGCAAAGCAUUACAGUAUAUCUCGCACUAAUAGUAGAGUGGGUAUUUAAUAAAGAAUGAUUAAUUCCGAGUGUUUACAACAUUACAGUAUAUCUUUGACCAUUAAAGUUACUUUAUGGAGUUCCAUGAAAUCUCACCCCAAAUAGAAUAAAUUUUGAAGAGUUUUGUUGACUGGAGUGAGGAAUGAAGGAAAAAUAAUCAUCAAAUUCAUAAUGGAGUGGUUUGUACUCUUCAUCCCACUCUUCAUCCUCAUAUACAUAUAA